rnacentral:rRNA from 1 species
UUAACUGGGGUAGAUAUUUCAAUUAAAUUGAAGUAAAUUUUACAAUAUUAAAUAAAUGGUUUAAGUUCUUUUAUAUAAGGAAAAUUAGUAUUAGUUACUUUAGGGAUAACAGCGUUAUAUUUUUGGAGAGAUCUUAUCUAUAAAAAUGAUUGCGACCUCGAUGUUGAAUUAAAAUUACUUUAUAAAGUAGAAUAUAUAUAAGUAGGUUUGUUCAACCUUUAAAUUUUUACAUGAUCAGAGUUCAGACCGGA